UACGGGAGGCAGCAGUGGGGAAUAUUGGACAAUGGGCGAAAGCCUGAUCCAGCCAUGCCGCGUGUAUGAAGAAGGCCUUCGGGUUGUAAAGUACUUUCAGCGGGGAGGAAGGCGAUGCGGUUAAUAACCGCGUCGAUUGACGUUACCCGCAGAAGAAGCACCGGCUAACUCCGUGCCAGCAGCCGCGGUAAUACGGAGGGUGCAAGCGUUAAUCGGAAUUACUGGGCGUAAAGCGCACGCAGGCGGUCUGUUAAGUCAGAUGUGAAAUCCCCGGGCUUAACCUGGGAACUGCAUUUUGAAACUGGCAGGCUUGAGUCUUGUAGAGGGGGUAGAAUUCCAGGUGUAGCGGUGAAAUGCGUAGAGAUCUGGAGGAAUACCGGUGGCGAAGGCGGCCCCUGGACAAAGACUGACGCUCAGGUGCGAAAGCGUGGGGAGCAAACAGGGAUUAGAUACC
rnacentral:rRNA from 1 species